GUGCAUCUGAGGCACAUGAAGAAGGUCCAUCUGACACAGAUGAAGAAGCUUCAGCUCGUGCACAUGCAGAAGGUGCAAAUGUAGAACCUGUCGCGGAACCCCUUGUCCAUUCACCUCCUUUCAUUGACAUAGGUGAUGAUGAUGAGGAUGGUCAUGUUGAACCCAAGUUCGUAGUCCCUUUGCGUAACUAUAAUGGUGAUCCAAGAACAACCGUUGAUUUGGAUAUGUUGUACAAUGCAAUGACGCAAAGAGACAUUGAAAGGAGGUAAGAUAACAAUAGGUUCUUAAUGUUAUUACUAAUGAAUGAUAUUAGUGCCUAAUUUAAUAUUCUUGAUAUUUCAGCUAUGUGUUCGAAAUAAUGGGUCAAUUGUUGACCACAACUGAAUGUAACACUUUAGGGCCUCGACAAUGUGUUGACAACAUGACGUUAAUUUUUGCAGCAACAAUAUUUAUUUAUUUUGAGAAAAGAUCCUCUGGAGGCAUAAAGAGGAUGGUAUUCAGUCCAAAUUUUGCGACACAUGUACUGAUCGACUAUAAGAGACGACCAGCCAAUCAAAAUGUGUGGCAACUUCUUGAUUACCAACCAUAUUUUCGUAACGAUCUCGUAAAUGUGCAAG